ACCGCGCUCCGCAAGCCCGGGGCUCUCCGCAGAGCCCCCGCCCGGCCGCGAGGCGCUCGCUCCGGCUCUUUGUUAUGUUAAUUCCCUUCCCAGCUGGUGCCAGCUGCCUGCACAAUGGGCGCCCUGAGCCCCACCAGACCUCGCCAGCCCGUGAGUGGGGGCGGGGCGGACCCUGCGCCCUUUGUGGAUGGGGCGGGCUAGUCCCGCUGAGUGAAUGCUGCGGGGCGAGCAGCACCUCCCCCCAUGAGGACGAGGCCGCGCCUCCGAGGCCUGCGGGGCGAGCUCUGAUGCUUUCCAGUCGCCCCGGACUGCUUGCCCUCUAGGUGCCAGGGCUAUGGAAAGUAAAAGGCUUUUGGGCGGCUCCGGAGCCGUGAGGAUGAAAGAAGACAGCCGCUUCCAGACCACACAGCUAAUCCCGCCAUAAACCUCGAGUAAAUACCAGGAGAGAAGGAGCAGGCCUGCUACAGAUGUGGAUUGAAGCCUCCGGGGAUCCCCAAAUUAAAACCCGGGCAGGAGAGGCACUUGGACCACCACCAAAUGACACUAAUUGGGUUAUGGGACCAUAAUCUUAGCUGCUGUUGGUUUUCCAAACUGUGAGAAGCAAGAGCUCGGAGGUGGCCAGCCUGGUGUUCCUGGGCAAGCUGAGAGUUUCCUUUAUCUGGCAUCUUCAAUCACUGGCUUCAGUCACCCUCUCAGGAGGCACACAAAGAUCCGCCUGUGACAUUCCCUUGUAGAAGGAAGAGUCAGCGGACUCUCCUCUGAGACUCCAGCCACCCUUGGCCCCCAGAUGCACAUAGCCUUCAGGUGUGCCAAAGUGGUCAAGGGGUAGAAGGGUGAUAGGGUGCAAUAUUUAGUCAGAGGUCUGCCUGAACCACCUACGUGCCUGUAAGGUAACUCCCAACAAAUCCCCUGGUUCAACAGGCCAGACGAUUCCUGGGAGGAAUUGUCUCCUUGGCUUGUUGAUGGACAGGUGUAUCUGUAGGACUCUCUGGGAAAACCUGCCACUGACUGUUGGGUGUUCUGGCUCCUCAAUGACUCUCAGUGGACACAAAUUGCAGGUAUUCCUCGUGUCAUUCCUGGGGCUGGUGAUGCAGCGGGAGAUCCUCCACUGAUGCUGAGAAGUCCCAGCGCUACCGUGAUGUGGCACUGGAGACUCCAGCAUUAAACUCCAGGGGUUGCUUCCCACCCUCCAGUUACAGGGCCUCCAUUUUUUUGCUUUCAAGCCCUACCAAUCAUCAAGCAUCGAGAAAGGUAUGCCUCACCUUGGGAAAACUAUAUAGCUGGGAAACAGAGAGGUGAAGUGUGAUUUUUAUGAAUGGCAUGCCACUACCCUGAAGCCAUCAGCUGGGCUGAGUUUAAAGAUGACACACCAAAAAGGGAUGGGACUCUGAAGUAGGGAGCACCAACCACUUGAUCUGCUAUUGAAACUCCCCUCUUAGAGGAUGAAAACAUGAUGUAGCGGCGUAGCUCAGUGGGCAGGGUGCUUGCCUAAAGGGUGCAUGCAUAAAGCCCUGAGUUUGGCUCCCGGCAUGGUGUAAACCAUAACCAGGUGUAGCGGUACAUGUCUGUAAUCCCAGGAGAGAUGGAGAUGGAAGGAUCAGAAGUUCAAGGCCAUUCUCAGAUACACACUGAGUUCCAGUCUGGGCCACAAUGACUGUCUCAAAAAGGAAAACAAAAACAAACGACAAUAAAAACAGUGCAGAAAGUAUCCUGGUUCCUUUGUCAUAGGGCAGGCCUCAGAGUUCUGACUGCUCCGAAUGCUGCUCUCAUCUCUCCUGUGAGGUAUAGGCACACAGGAGGACUGGGCUUAAAUCUUCUAAAGAGUUUACCCUACCACCAUAUUUUGGUGAGAUUUUUCUUCCCCUGAAUAAAGACUAUGUCUAAAGGAACUAAUCGUUCACCAUGGUAACACAACUAACCUGAGCUUUGGAAAUUAUAUGACAAACUGGUGAGUUAGGAGGUUGUAACUUUUCUCUAGUAAGAGACACCUCUUAUCCCCUGCACACAGCCAGUGUUCUUAAUGGUUCUGUCUCCAAAACAAACUGCAUUUAUUAAGGAUAAUGCAUUCACCCUCGUAGCCAAUUUCUUCUCAUUUUGUGAUAACUGUGUUAACCCAGAGACGAUUUAAUUCCAGCCCAAGGAAAAGAACUCUGACACAGCUUUGCCCAUGCAGCCAUUUUUAGGAACUCCAUGAUUCAUAAGCUUCCGAAACAUUAGAUGUCACAUCUCAGGAAUAACAACAAUGACUUCCGCAGCUCUCUAAACGUCCUGGGACCGCAGCCUUCAUGCUCAGUGUAGAGAACCCAGACAUCACAACACAAGAGAGUCCUCUGGUCCUUUCAGAGCCUACCUGCAGGGAAUUUGGGGACAAUGAAGCCUUAGGAGAGUCAUUCAUUACACACAUCCCUAAUGCACACACCUGAGAGAUCCAAUAUUGACAAUCUUGUAUAAGGUUUACCUAGGUACUGUGACAGUGUCACCAACUGUGAAUAUAACAACACACUAUGCACUGUAACAGCCUGGACAACACUAUGAGGGGUGUGCUACCACUGGAACAUGAGGCUGGUUUGCUGGCAACAGUGGCAGGGCUUGGCCCAGCAUCUAAGCUGUCAGGCCCUUUCCUUCUUCAGGUUUCACUGCUGUGAAGAGACACCAUGACCACAGCAGCUGUUAUAAAGAAAAGCAUUUAAUUGGGGCUGGCUUCCAGUUCAGAGGCAGUUCCAGCAUGGCAGCCUGCAGGCAGACGUGGUGCUGGAGAAGGAGCUGAGAGUUCUACAUCUUGAUCUGCAGGCAGCAGUAGUGAAACAUGAGCCUGGGCUUAAGCAUCUGAUACUUCAAAGCCCACCUCUACAGUGACACACUUCCUCCAACAAGACCACACCUCCUAAUAGUGCCACUCUUGAUGGGCCAAGCAUUCAAACACAUAAGUCUAUGGGAGCCCUCACUUCAAGGCUCUGCUUCAUUACAAGUCUACAAGCCAGUCUCGGCCUGAACAGAGUGGAAAGGUGUCUUGGGGCAAUGCCUCCAUCUCAGCACUGAGAGGUUUGCGGUAUCUUGCAGACUUGGAGAACAACACAAGAUGCUUUUCCAGCUCUGGAAAAGGAAGGCAAGCAAGAAAACUCAGUCUUGUGAUGUUUUUCCAGUCUUCUGAGAUUUGACAAAGGGAAAAAGUAUCUUCUGUCUUCACCUUCCUCCUGGGCACAUGGGGAGCCUGUUUCGUGACUUCUUGCAGAGAUGUCUGAAUGCAGCCUCAGGAGCCCUUCAGAGUAGUCCACUCACCACCCCUCGCCUCAUAGCAAGAAAAACAGAGUCCCACAGUCAUCUCGGAGGGCACCCGCAGAAGUGUCCAGAAGCAUCGGCGCUGGCUUCGAGUGACAGCCAUCACAUGUCUGAGGCUAAGACCCAGCUGUUCCCCUGCAGUGGCCUGGAUGGAGCUCAGGCUAGCCUGGGCAGCACAAGCCAAUGGGCGCUCCUUUGGUCCUUCCCUACAAAGCUGACACCUGCCUGUGCUCUUCACAGCUGUCACCUGUAACAGUUCUAGACCAUGUGAGUUCUCCCUGCCCCAAGGUAAAGCAUCCAGUCAGAUUUCUGUCGCUUUAAAUCAUGCAAAUAGUUGAAAAACAAGACUGAGAAAUGGGAAAUUACAGGAGAAUGGGCUCAUUCAUCUUCAUAUGUUUUUAUCAGUUCCAUUGUGGUCAAAAGCAGGUGUUUCAAGCUAUGAGUGAGUGGUUUUGCAUUUUCAAAAUUAACAAAUUGGAUCAACACGAAGAGAAACAAACAAGCAAACAAGCCAACAAGCAUAGUCAGCCCAGUAGAGAGCUGUUUAUAAAAGCUGCAGCCGUUCUCAGAGAGGUUUGCGGCCAGCAGCAGCAGACUAGGCUGUGUGAGUUCCCUGUUUAGUCAUCGUUCUUCAGCCCGUCACAGAUACUGAAGGGAAAUGCAGAGACAGGAAAUUACAGGCUAUUUUAAACAGCAUGUUUUAUUAAACUCACUUGCUGAUGCACUUCAUGGCAGGAUGCGAGACUCGAGUGCUCAUAACUUAAUCUUUGCAAGUACUUUUCCUAAGUGAGUUCUCCCACUAAUACACAACACCCCAGGUCAUGGAGCAUCACUUCAAAUAGAGAGUUUCUUUUUUGUUGUUGUUGUUUUUUGGGUUUUUUUUUGGGUUGUGUGUGUGUGUGUGUAUAAUGUGAAGAAAAUACACCUUGCUCACAGGAUUGCAACUGUAACUCCCAGAAAGCAACAGCUGGCUUUGUAAGAUGGUGAGAUCACAAAUGCAUUUGUUGGAAACCACAGAAUCGGAUCACAGCAAUGAGGCUGGGGAAAGGAGAAAAGGCUCACUAUACAAGCAUGAGGGUCUACCCAGCUCCCAUGUCAAGAGCCAGGUAUGGUGGUGUGUACCUGUAAUACCAGCGCUGGGAGACAGUGUAGACAGGAGGGUUCCAGGGCUUGUUGGCCAGCCUGCCCAGCUGAAAUGGGAAGCCCCAGGUUCAGAGGGAGAUGCCACCCAAAAAUCAGAGGGUCUAGCUAGGGUGACUGUUCGUCAGCAAUGUGCUUACUGCACAAGCAUAAGGCCUGAGCUCUGUCCUUAGCACCCAUGUAACAGCCAGGCAUGGCAAUACAUGCCUGUAACCCCAUCACUGGGGAGGUAGAGACAGGAGGAGCCCUGGAGUGCACUAGCCAGUCAGGCCAAUUAGUGAGCUUCAAAUUCAGUGAAGACCCUGCCUCAAAAAUAAAAUGGAGAGUGAUUGGGGAAAGAUAACCUUAGGUGGGUCUGUAGAUUGCCUGUGUAUAUGAGCAGCUGCAUACACAUGUACACACACACACACACACACACACACA